rnacentral:misc_RNA from 1 species
CGACGCACUAGUAAAUACAUACCUGUUCUUCAUGAUGGCUGACCCUGCACUGCUCACUGUCUGCUCAGCUGCUGCAAUGGCGGAUUUAGUCUUCUCCGAGACCUGGAACUUCUGGUCCAGGUCCUUCACUUUAUCGUUCACAACUGUAGUCCCCAUGCUUAUUUUCUCGCUCAGACCAAUCUUCUUAUCAAGAGAAACAACUUUGGAGGUGGCAGUGGAUGUGAACUGAAGUUUGUCAUCAAAUGCCUUUGCUUUGUUGAGUGUGUCUUUCCCUAGGACGAAGCCCUUGGCAAGCAUGCUGCUGACAACAUCUUCAGCCUUCUGCACAGCAGACUCAGCACCGCCAGUAGCUUUGACAUCUUUUGACAUAGGAGGAGCAGAGGCAGAGGGAGGCAGUUGGUAAUCAGUGGCUGGGGUAAUGAUAACUGAUAGAUCAACUAUUGUCGCACCCGAAAGAAGAAGUGCGGUUUCUGCUCCUUGUGAAUCUUUGAAGGUGACAUACGCAAUUUGAGACCACUCGUCCCCACUUUGCAUUUCAACAUAUUCUAUGUCCCCGGAAAAAGAAAAGAACUCCUUG